GCCAGUGUGGUGCAGUGGUUUGAAUGCUAGACUAUGAUUCUGGAGACUAGGGUUCGAUUCUCAACUCAGCCA